GAACGUUUAGCAGUCCGGUCUGCCACGCUGAGGCCACGGGUCCUGCCUUUAAUUCCCGCUUCGGGCGUGGGCGGCGUAUACACGCCAGCCUUCCUCCUCCUUUCUCUCUCUCUCUCUCUCUCCCCCCACCCCCUCCUCCAGCCGCGUCUCCCUUCCUCAGGUUUUUCUGCCUUCUCGUUUCCCACCGCCGCCUCGUCAGGGAAACCAUCCGGGGAGCGCCGCUUUGCAAAAGGAGAAGAGCCUUUGCCAAAAAGAAAAGAAAAAAAAAUGGGGUGGGGGGAGAUCCGCCGUCCGCAGCCGGAGAGCGAUUGCGGGCUACCCGCGGGAGCCGUUCCCCUUUUCUCCCGCCUGGGGCUGGGCGGCGGCGGCGCUUGAAUGGCCGGGCGCGAAGCGAAGGCGCGCGGCGAAGCUUAGAGCGGGGAAGGCGGCGCGAGCCGGAGCUGCAGCUGCUGGGGAAUCCCGUUUCCUCCUCGGCCUAGCGACUGCAAGCGGCGGCGGCAGCAGCCCUGCAAGAAGGACCGGCAAGCACCUCGCUAACCUUUGGCGAGGUAGGGAGGCGCGCUCUGUUUCCCCUUUAGGAAAAAGUGACGGACGGGGUCCGUGUAGCAGCAGCAGCAGCAGCAGCGGAGUUGGAAGGAAAUCCUCGGUUUUGGCUGCGGGACACCUGUCCCUCGAACAACUGCUCCCAAGGCGGGUUAGAUCAGUGGGAGCAGUUUCUGCCGGCCAAGGCAACGGAUUGGAUCCAGGAAAGCGUCCAUUGAUAUUUAUUUAUUUAAACAACGUGUUUUGAUGGCCCUGAUGCCACAAGAUCGACGGAAUGGCAGCUCCGACGAGAAGGAUCGCGAGGAUGUGUUUGUUUGUUUUUUAACUUCCAACGUGCGUGCCGAAAAUGUGUGACUUUUAGGAAGAAGACUUGUGAAGGAUAAUCCUCUCUUUGCUUGUACAUAGCUUCAAAGGAAAAUAAUUAGCCUUUUUUUAAAAAAAAAUGAACGACGCCUUCCAUAUGUUCCAGGUCUUGGAUAGAAGCUUCCCUGAAGAACUGGAAAACCAGAGAAAUGUUUUUCUCCAUGCUGCUGAUUAAAGUACACAACAUUGCUGCAGGAGGACGUCACCAGUAGGGCUUUGUAAACCAGUGUACCUUAACGGGGCAAUGACUUCCUCUUUCUGUUCCAUUGUUACUGCCACGAUUGCAGUCUUAGGCUCACUUAACAUUGGAGUGAGUGCUAUUGUACACUGUAGGUAUUAUUUUUGAGUUAAUGUGCAUAGUUCACAACAGAACUUCACCCUUGUCAUACCCUGGUUGUUCCAUAGGACAGAGUAUAUGAGAGACUGUAGUUGGUGCCUGUUUCACCUCUGUGGUUUGCUUGUUUGUUUACUGUGGUUUUUUUCCUCAUUUUAUGCACUUUGAACAUUGUAGUUGCUGAGAGGAGCACCACCAUGUGGAGGAGAAUUUUUGUGGUGAAAAUGUUAAUUUUGAACAUUCACUAGAGUGCAGAGACAGAUAGGAUUAAUUUAUGCUGUAAAUGAAAAUGUCCCUUAAAAUGAAACUGUACAAAAUAAAAGCAAAUUGUAGGGCUAGUUUUAGUAAGUAUUUGAACAGGCCACAUUGCUAUGUAAGUAUAAUAAUUUUAUGACAUCUCUUCUUCCAUACCUUUUGUUUUAUAUUCAGUGACAUGUAAAAGAUUACAAAUAUGUAUCAUCUCAGGGACUGGGGAUUUCGGUACAUGGCUGCCAUAUUCUGGUUCCCUAAUAUGUUGCUUAUAGUAAUAAUGAGCCCAUAACGUGUUCCUGGGUGAUUCUUUUAAUUAAAAAUAAAAAUGGAAAAUCAACAUGCUGCAGAGCAAAAUAUCAACCACGAAAUAACACUCUUUCAGUGAUCUGUGGGACCCAGAGGCAUGUUUAGAAAAUCAAAUAGCCAGUGACUAGAGCCAACCACUAUGUUUCUCUUUUGGCAAAGGGGUGCUUUAUCAUGGCUUAGCCUUAGAACAUUUUCUGGCAGUGUACUUGAACAUGCUCUUCAAAUUCCAGGUCUUCUCACUGACUCAAACGAUGGGGGUCCUUUGUUCUUUAAAUCAUGCUUUAAAGGAAGAGAGUUGAGUAACCUGUUUUGAAUUGUAGAUACUCCAUUGUGGGUAGUGUGCAAAGACCUGAACUUAAGAAACCAAUUGAGCCAAAGGAAAAUGGGCAAAGCCAGAAGAAAAAGAUGGAUAAGGUAACAGCAAAUAAAACAAGGAUAUAAAUAUUUAAUAAAGUACUGUACAUGAAUAAAAGCAGCCGCCAUCCGAAGGCCAUCCCAGAAGAUGGACAUGAUCACCCAUCCAUAUGCUUGUCAGCCUCGGACAGUAUUUUUUCUUGAAACUGAAGUUAACUUUAGUCUGCAUUUUGUUUUACUCAACUCGGUUUGUCCUCAAAUUGGAACAGAAUGUCAAAUUUAAACAUUUAAGAGAUCAAUUGUAAAAUACUUCUGAAGUUUAAAUUUACUCGAAUGCUUUCCAUAACUACGGUAGUAAACGCCCAUCAGUGUGUGUAUUUUUCAUUUAUUUAUUCAUUUAUCUUUUUCAAACCCUGAUUCAGAUCGUAAUUCUUUUGUUUCUUUGGACUAUACAAUCUAACCUGUAUGGAAUUAGAUCAGAAUUAAAUGUAUAUUGCCUUUU